AAAACCUAUGCCUGCCCACACAAGCACAAAUAGGAAGAAACAUACCAAAAUGCUAACAGUGCUCAUCACUGCAAGUUAUAUUUAUUGGGGAUGCUUUCCAAAUUAUGUUUUCUAUAUUUUUCAAAUUUUCUGCAAUGCAUGUGUCAACUUUAUAAUGAGAGAAAAGUACUUAGCAUAUUUGAAGAGCAGUUAUAUGCUGAAUGAGCGGUAGAUUCAGGGAUGACUUGAAGCUGGAACUGCUCAAGAACAGCUUCCCAAUGAGGUGUGACCUUCUCUCUGGGAGUGUCCAGGUCUGCACUGGGUGGGGGAGUUGAACAAGAGAGUGGCCAAGUGUGAGAAAGGUUGGGAUGAAAAGGAAAAUGACCUUUACUGAGCAUCUGCUACAGACUGGUUUCUAUGUUCCAAAGCUGAGAUUAAAAAUCAAAAUAACUUCUGCAAUGAACUAAAGCUGGUAAGUGUUGGAGCUGAGACCUGAAUCCAGGACUUCCUGGCUCUGAAGCACAAAUUUGAAGCAGCCUUCUUCACCUGCAGGAGCCAGGCCUGCAUCAGUCAUCUGUUUAUAAGGCCAACAGCCUGAUCACCUCUUGCAAUCAACCAACAGAAAAUGUUUGCUCACUCCUGGUUUCAACCAUUAGAAACUGAGAGCUUGAAUUUGACAAUGGGAAGCCAGGCGUUCUGUAGGGAGCUCACAGCAAUAUGUUCAUAGGAUGGGAUUCUAUUUAUAUUUUCAGCCUGUGCCACCUCUUGGGAUCACACAGCAGGCAGCAAACUUAUGGAACGUGGUUUCCAUGGAGGCAGAAGGAAGAUAAGGUUGGAGAAGCAGCUGCCUAAAUGGCCUGUGGGCCUGAACAUGAGGGGUGCCCGGCCCUCAGGGACCCCCACUUCUUGUGUUCUUUCAAAGAGUUUUCAAGGUGGAAGAAAACAGAGUUGACUGGGGUUGCAGACUAAGCUGACACAGGUAGGGUGGGGACAGUGUGGCAGGCUCCAGCAAGCACCGGAUCAGUACCUUCAGCCCUAGUACUUCUCAGCUAACUAGUGGUAAAGGUGGGCCUGGGCCUCAGGACCUUAUGGAAAUAGACAUGAAGGUCCAUUUGGAUGGAUGGACUGUGUUUUAAAAGCCUCUGCUUUUGCUAAUGGAUGGUGAAGCCCGUAUGCUGUUGCACCCUCUCCCAGACUCUCUUCACAGGGACCCACAGACUCCUCCACUAGAACCCUCCCCAGCAGACAGCAGCUCCCCUUCAGUUGGUCUGUGGGCACUCGAAGCUGUGUGCAACCAGGCCAAUGAGGUUGGUGAGGCUAAGGAGGAUGGCCUUGAGAAAAACCAAGCCAGGACGUCUGGGAUCAAGAAGACAGAACACACUACAACAGCUGGAAGGAGUGGAGAAAUGUACAGAUAAAGCAAAAUAAUCAGGAUAUGAGAUCUCGUUCCAUGCCCAGUUAAUCAUCUAUAAGCUGUAUUCAAGGCUGCACAUUAACUUCACGAAUACGCCACAGACACCUCAAGUGCAAGAGGUUUAAAGCCAAACUCCGUGUUUUAACCACCCAAUAUGUUUCCUUCCUGUGUUCCCAAUUCCAGAAAAUGCCUCGGUUAGGACUUUCUGAGCCUUAGUUUUUCAACCCACAAAAUGGAGGGAGCAAUGCCUGCUCUGUCUACCUGGGCUGCCAGAGUCAGGUGAGAACCCAGACAGAAACACACAUUGGAAAAUAACAAAUGUGAGGAAGACAGAGACCAGAGCAUGCUCACUCACUGCCAACAUUGGUCACCUCGUUAUUGACUCUCAAAGGAGGGACCCCGUCUCACAUGAGCAUGUGAUGGCACCAUGCAAAUUGCAAUGGGCUGCACCAGCAAAAGAAUGACAAACCAAUGAGGCUGGCACCAUAAGACAAGAGCACCAGAGACUUCCUUCAGAUGCUACACACAGACAUUUCCACAGAGACCCGUUAGAGACUAAAACUGAAUUUUAGUAUGAAACAAGGGACUGACAAUGACAGCAGGAAUUUUCAGCAAGAAGGGAAAGGAGAGCAACACAUAGCGGGCUUGAGGGAGGGCUAAUUGGAGCAAGCAGGGAUGUGGUUAAAAGGGGAGGACCUCAGCGGUAAUCAACUAUAUCGCUUAUUUCCCAGUGGAACCAUUUAAACUGAGAGAGGAUGUGGAGGUUAGCCUCCAGCAUGGCUCACAGUGAUCCCCAUCUCCUGGAAAUCAUAUCCUUGUGUAGUCUCCUCCCAGACUGAAUAGGGGUGACCUGGAGAACCAAUAGGGUAUUGAGGUGAUCACAGUGUUUGACUUCUGCACCUGUGUCAUAAAGCACAUAAUGACAUCUGCCUUGGAUCACUCACUCUGUGGGAAGCCAGCUUCCCUGUGGUGAGGACACUCAAACAGUCUUAGGAAGAAGCUUCCAUGGAGAGUAACUGCAGCCUCCUGACAACAGUCAGCAAGGAACUAAGACUUCCUGCCAACAGCCACAUGAGUGACCCAUCUUGGGAGAUGAUUCUCCAGCCCCAGUCAAACCUUCAGAUGAUGUGGUUCCAGCCAACGUCUUGAGAGCCUGUGAGCAGACUCCCAGUUACACCACUCCCAGAUUUCUGACCCAUUAUACUAUGAGAUAAUUAAUAAAUGAUUGUUGUUUCAAUUCACCCAAGUUUGGGGUUGUUUGUUAUACAUCAACAGAUAACUACUACAGAGGGUGUAUUUCAUUUCUAAUUACUUUCCGUAUUUUUAUACUAUAUCCACAGUCAUUACCUCAUCUGAUUCUUACACUUACUUAUUUUCUCUGGCUCAAAGAUUCAUAAGCUGUGUCUUGGAGAAGUUAAGUAGCAUUUCCAAAUUCACAUUAUGCAUGGUGGCAGAUCCAGGUGAAAUUCCAAGCAUUCUGACUUCUCAUGUUUUCUCUCUGCAUAUAAUCCAGAUGCUGAAAUCACAUUCUGUGGGCAGCUGCAUCAUUGAACAUUGUCUGGAGCCUGCUCUAUUUUGAAAGAACUCUUUGCUGCAUGCUCUAGGGCACAGAUGGAGGCAGCAUCAUAGGUGGGUUAAGGAGUUACCUCAUCUUUGGCACAACCUGCUAAGCUAACCUGAGUACUCCCAGCCAUUAUUCCACAAGCCUCUACCGAGUGCCUCCUGUAUGACAAGUGUCAUGGAACUCAUAUCAACAGCAUGCAUUUCCUGGAGGCACAGUUCAAUAGAGAGCUGGGGGUGAAAAAAAAAAGAGAAAAGAAAAAAUAAGAAAGCUAUAACAUUUGAGCUUGAAAUGUCACAGGGAGCCAAGGAAGUUGUCUGAUGGAUUGCCCUGUCAUCGCCAAGCCAAAAGAAAAAAAACUUUCAGAUCCAUCAAUUUGUUCCUGCCCUUUUAAUCCAAACAAUAUUUUACAGCAUCAGAACGCAAAGAAAUUAUUUUCUUAGACAUUCAACUCCGCAUGUGGACUGCUGAGCACUUAACCAGAAAGCAGCAAGUGAGAACUGUAGGUUGUUCAAGUGUCUGCACAUCUGAUUGAUCCAGAUUGAAUGUAUAAUAUACUGGAACACAUAUGAGAGCCUACUGGUGACAUAUGUUCAUUCAUUCAUUCAUCCAUGAGGAGUUGACAUCUCUUUGCCAUAGACAAUGAAUUUGAAGAGACACCUGUGUACACGUGCACCAGCUGCCCAGGAUGAGGACUGCUCCUGCCUGCUCUGGACCUGCUCCUCCCUUUGGCUGGCUUUCCAAUUAGUGUAGACCUGUUCUCCAGUAUCCCAGCCUCUCCUCGGGCCACAUUUGAGGAUACCACCAUCCACCCCUUGGAUCAAAUGUUUGGCUCUUGGGCUCAGACCGUGUUGGGAUAUAGCUUUAUUUGCAAAGUAGGCUGAAAAAUUCCCUCUCCUGACAAGGAAAGCUGAUUGGCAGUAUGAAGAGUACAUUGCAGAAGUUUUGAGGAGGACAAGCACUUACAAUGGCUUUACAAGGAUGGCUGGCCAAGUGAGAUAGAAUUUAACAUGGGUAUUUGUCAGCCCUCAAACAAGUCCUGCCUUCUUUCCUCCAGGUCUUUAUUCACACUGCUUCUGCCUCCUCUAAGCAAUCCUUCCUGAUUUCCCCCGUCCCCUCAGUCAGUGUGCUCUCUCCCUGUCCCCUUGUUGUUGGUUCCUCUAUCUUGGUGAUCUGCUUUGCAUGUGAACGACCCAUGUGUGCGUCUAUUUCUCUCACUAUAUUGUAAUAUCCAUGGGGCUUAACUGUGUCUGUAUUCCUACACGAUGUCUAGCACAAGGAAUAAUAAAUCUUUAUUACAAUGACUUGAAUGGGAAGAAAUGUAAAGUGGGCAUGUCCUGUAUUGCUUGUGGGAUAAGUGGAGUCAUCAUCUGUUUGUUCAUACAAAGACUUGUACAUGAAUGUUCAUGUGAGCCUUAUUCAUAAUCGCCAAAAACUGGAAAUAACUCAAAUGUCUACAUCAAUGCAAUUGAAUACUACUCAGCGAUAAAAAGGAAAGAACUACUGGCGUAUGCAACAACAUAGAUUAAUCUCAAAGGCAUCAUGCUAAGUAAAAAGUCCAGACAUAAAAAACUGUAUACUGUUAGAUUCUAUUUAUAAGAAAUUCUAGAAAAUGAAAAACUGUAGUGACAGAAAGCAGACUAGUGGCUGUAUGGGACAACAGAUGGCAGGAAGUGGGUUGAAACAGUGGGAACAUUAUUUGUUCCCGGGGACACAGGGAAGUAAUAGAAAUGAACUAAUCCUGAUUGUGGUGAAAUUUGCACAGCUGUGUUCAUAUUCUCACACUCACCAAACAGUAUAUUUAAAAUAGAUGAAUGUUAUUGCAUAAAAUUAUACUUCCAGAAAGCUAUAGAAGAAAAUUGGCCAGAAUGUGAAGGAUUUUGGGUGCAACUUAAGAUGUUUGAAAUCUAUCAUUGGCUAUAGAAGCACUAAAAUGUUUGAAGAAGGGAGAAAUGGAUGGUGUUGGAGAGAAGAUACUGGGUACAAGAGUUUUUUUGUUUUUUUUUGUUUUUUUUUUGGUUUUUUUGAGAAGGAAUCUCACUCUGUCACCCAAGCUGGAGUGCAGUGGCGCUAUCUCAGCUCACUGCAAGCUCCACCUCCUGGGUUUGCGCCAUUCUCCUGCCUCAGCCACCCGAGUAGCUGGGACCACAGGCGCCUGCCACUACACCCGGCUAAUUUUUUGUAUUUUUAGUAGAGAUGGGGUUUGUCCAUGUUAGCCACGAUGGUUUUGAUCUCCUGAGCUCACGAUCUGCCCGCCUUUGCCCCCCGAAGUGCUGGGAUUACAGGCAUGAGCCACUGUACCUGGCCAAGGCUUUUUAAUGAAUUAUGAAAUAGAACAGAGAAGAUUAUGGCCUAGGUAAAGGUGGGAACAAAGGAAAUAGAAAUGAUCAGAUGGAUGCAGGAGACUCAGCAAUGAAAUAAUCACAGACCCUGCGAUUGAGGACUAAAAAGAUGCAUGUUUUGGCUGAGCCUUUAGUUUGAUGAUCUUGGUGAGAGAUGCUUGUACAAACCUGGAGCCAGCUUGGGGAGAAAGUGGGUGGAUCCAAGGUCCCGAAUUCUACCAUGGAAACAAAUUUAGAAACUUGGUUUAAGCUAGAUGCCAAAUUGAUUCCACAGGAUUGCCAAAUAUUAGGAGGGCAGGGACAAAGAUACUGGCAUUAGUGAUGUGAGGAGGCAUGAGACUCCAUGUGGAAAUGGAGGCUUAUGGACAUGGAUUCCUUUUGUAAGGGCCUGCCCUCAGGAAGCCUCUCUGUCUGCCAGGUGAAACGUGUAAGAGGGAGCCAAGGAACUAAAGGGAUGAUUUAGGCCUGAGUGCCAGAGAGCAUUGCACCACCACUGAUAGACCCGGAGAACCCAGAAUGGGAGAUGCUCAGGGACAGUGGUGGUGAAGAGAAAAUACAGAAAGGGAACUUUGAUGGCAUCCAGUCCUACCUACCUCGCCAAAGAAGACACUUCUGCUAUGUCCCCAGUACCAUUUGGGUUGAGCAUUCUUCUAGAAACAUGAAGUCUACUGCUUUGUGAAGAGUUGGCUCCAUUACUGGACAGCUCUAAAUGCAGGUGAUGAUGAUGACGAUGAUGAUGAUGAUGAUGAUGAUGAUGAUGAUGAUGAUGAUGAUGAUACAAAGAGGAGCAGGAGAAGAGGACAGCUAACAUGUAUUGAGCAGUCUCCUUCUGCCGGACAUUCUUCUAGGCUGUACAUGCACUGUCUUAUUUAAUCCUCAAAAUAACACUAUAAGAUAGGCACUAUAAUUAUCUAUCCUCGUUUUGCAGAUGACAAAAUGAAGGCACAGAGAAAUGAUAUAGCUUGCUCAAGGUCAUACAGAAGUGGUCGACCUGGGAUUUGAACCCAUGUCAUCUGAUGGCAGAGCCUUCACAAGACUGGCAUGUGUUGCUUGCUAGUGAUUCCAUAUCUACCUGUCUGUAAUUUCUGUCUAAUUCCAUUUUCUGUAGGAAUUCAAAUCAGUAAACAGAAACUUUUUUGCAUCUUUUCAAAUGUGUUAAGACAGCAAAGUGUACAUUUUCUCUGGAUUUUCUCUUCUGUAUGUUAAAUACAUCCAUUCUAUCAAGUGUUCCAUAAGAGGAGAUCAUUCUAGUGCCCUUACCAUCUUGGUGCUCCUUAUUGAAUAUCCCUGAGUUGGUAAUAAUUCUCACUGAAGGUGAAAGCUAGAAGUAAACACAGUACUCCCAGUAUGAUUCAAUCUGAAUGGAGUAAAAUAAGAGAAUGUAGUGCAUUAUGGUUCCCUGUGUGGGGGUAGAGCAGAUGGCAAGAAGACUAGGCCUGGAGAAAAGCCCACUGUAAAAGGAUGGGGUGAUACUGAAUCAGAAAAGAAGACGAAACAAUGAGUUUAAGGAGGAUAAGAACUGAGAACUUAAACAGAUCUGCUGGCUUAGGGAGAGUCAUUGGGAAGAAAUGCAGGAGCUAUGGAAAUAGUAGGUAAUGAGCCAGCAGGAGGGACUACGUGUUGUCCUCUCUGGUUACAAAAGGAAAGGGAAAAGGACAGUGGCUGGUGGGAGGUGGAACAGACAGAAGGAUCAAGUAAGAGGUUGUUUACAUGCUAGGAAAGUGAGGAUGGUGCAUAAGGCAGGGAAAGGAUUGUCAAUAGAGAGGAAAGAAUGCACGAAGAGGGAAAGACUGAAGUUGCUGCAGCCAGAGUCAGAUGGAGACAGCAGGUGAGAUGAAAGGUAAAGGAAGCACUUUGUGGGUAGAGACAGCAAUAUCUGAAGGUGCAGAGAAGGAGGGCUGAUAACACCUCUCACAUACUGCUUCAUGUUGUGCAAAGGUUUUCCAUGUUCAUUAUCUCAUGGGAUCACACACCAGUCCUGAGAGGGGAAAUACUACUAUUUGUAGUUUACCAUGGAAGACAAUGGAGAGUCAAAGAAGGUAAGUGACUUCCCCAGUGCUAUGAAAGGAAUACAAUUUUCUGAUUUCUUGUCCCUUUUUCUGAGUCUAUGACUACAGCCUAUUACACUGUGUCCCAGAGAGCUCAGUAAGAUGUGAAUCAAGACCAUGUCCCAAAAGGGAACCAAGGGAAGUGAAUUGUUGAGAGAAAUUAGGAACUAAGGAGAGCUGGGAAAAUUGAGCACAUUGCUUAGAAAAGGGGUCAAUGAGAAAUAGAGAGUUGGUCUGUCAACAUCAAGAGCAUCAAGGAAGAUAGCCUAAGUCUGCACUAAUUUAAAGGAAGCCAACCCCAACCUACUCCUGUGUCCUGAGAAACAAUACUCCACCCAUUAAUCCCACUGAAUUUAAUGAAUGCCACAGUGUAUCAGAGAAACAGUAGGUGACUCAGAGCAGGAGCAGGAGUUUUGUGCGGCCAGACACAGGGUACAAGGUAUAAGAUGUACAUGAAUCAGGAUGAUGGUCAUGCCGGGCAGGAUGUUACCAAAGAUUGAUGUGCCUGCAAAGGGACCCAUAGGAAAGAAAGAGGACUCGGUGGAAGGGGGUGAUCUGAGAAGGUUUCUGGGGACUGCUGAGCCCAGAAUUUCACACAUGUAUAAGCAUGGUGGUGAGAGUAGCUACAAAAAUUAAGAAACCUUAAUGUUAGUGAAUGUGUUUGGCUGAAGACAAGUCCUUUUACUAAAAGGGCUGUAAAGCUCUCCCAUAAGGGUUGGCAAAGGAAGCCUUUGUAAAAUCUGGUGUGGAGAAGGGGCAUGAUGAGUCAACAUGGCAUUGAAACUGUCCAUGAGAAAUCAGGUUAGGAGGCUAAUGAAACACGGUGUGAAGGCCUAAACUAGGGUUCUGGCAAUAAUGAUAGGAAAAAAUGUUAUGAAAGGGAUAAUAAAUUGAUUUGGUUACUGAAUAAGACAUAGAGAAUGAAGGAGAAGACAGAAGUCAAGAAUGAGUCUUGAUCAUCAAUGAAAUCAUAGCAAUGUUGAUGGAUAAAUAAAAAUUAGAAGAGUCAUAGUUAAUGAGGAGAGGAGAGCUUAAGAGAACACAGGGAGAUAUGCAUAGAUACCUGGAGACACAGUCUGAUGUUCUCAUCAGUGAUCAGGUCUAAGUGAUGAGAUUCAGAGGUCAUCUAUAAGGAGAGACGUAUGACUCCUUGAGUGUGGGGAACAAGGUAGAGAAGCAGAAGGCCAUGGUCUGAGCCUUGAGUGACAUCAGAGAAAUUUUCUAUCUGCUAGGGAAGUGGGAAGAAACAUUUCAAUUAAAAAGCAUUUCAAUUCAAUAAUGAGAGAUACUGGAAAAAGAAGCUGAAGGCAUCAAAACUUAGAGAUGGUAAGGAAGUCG
rnacentral:lncRNA from 1 species